GCCCAGGUGGCGGAAUUGGUAGACGCACUAGGUUCAGGUCCUAGCGGUGGCAACAUCGUGGAGGCUCGAGUCCUCUCCUGGGCACCA
rnacentral:tRNA from 1 species